rnacentral:rRNA from 1 species
GACGUAGGGCGCGAGCGUUGUCCGGAUUUAUUGGGCGUAAAGAGCUCGUAGGCGGCUUGUCGCGUCGACUGUGAAAUCCCGCGGCUCAACCGCGGGUCUGCAGUCGAUACGGGGCAGGCUAGAGUUCGGUAGGGGAGACUGGAAUUCCUGGUGUAGCGGUGAAAUGCGCAGAUAUCAGGAGGAACACCGAUGGCGAAGGCAGGUCUCUGGGCCGAUACUGACGCUGAGGAGCGAAAGCGUGGGGAGCGAACAGG